UAAGGUUUGACCUGCCCACUGAGGAGUUUAAUGGCCGCAGUAAUUUGACUGUGCAAAGGUAGCAUAAUCAUUAGUUUUUUAAUUAAAAGCUAGAAUGAAUGGUUGGACGAAAUAAAAUCUGUCUCUAAAUAAUAAAUAAAAAUUAAUUUUUAAGUUAAAAAGCUUAAAUUAUUAUAAAAGACGAGAAGACCCUAUAGAUUUUUAUAUUAUAAAUUUUAAUUUUAAUUUAGAAAAUUUUAUUAAUUAUAAUUUAUAUUAUUUUAUUGGGGUAAUAGAAAGAUUAAUUGAAUUCUUUUUUAAAAUUUUCAAUAAUUUUUGUUUUUUUGAUCCUUUAUUAAAGAUUAUAAGAUUAAGUUACCUUAGGGAUAACAGCGUAAUUUUUUUAGAGAGUUCUUAUCGAUAAAAAAGUUUGCGACCUCGAUGUUGGAUUAAAAAUUAUUUUAGGUGUAGUAGUUUAAAAGUUUGGUCUGUUCGACCAUUAAAUUUUUACAUGAUCUGAGUUCAGACCGGUGUAAGCCAGGUCGGUUUCUAUCUUUAUUAGGUUAAUAUAUUUUAGUACGAAAGGACCAAAUAUUAAAUAUAUAAAUAUUUAAAUGUUGAAUAAUA
rnacentral:rRNA from 1 species